rnacentral:lncRNA from 1 species
UAGGGCCUGACUUUUUGGCUGUGUCUCAGAGGUAGCAAGCCCUGAGAGUUCCCAUAUUUGGAAGAGAGUCCUGCUGUGCCUCAGGACCACACAGAGAAGCAAGAAAUGGCCAGAUCUGAUGGGAUACUGAGGGCACGGCUGAUGGACAUCUUGGCUUUACCUUGUGGGCGAGCAACGACUAGAGGGAGACUGUCUCCCUGCCUACCCCAAUCCUGAAGCCUCAACAUUGCACAGAACUUAAAAUCCUUGACCCACAGUAGUCCCGCCUUCGCCACGGUUUCACUUUCCACGGUUUCAGUUACCUGCCGUCAACCAUGGUCCGAAGAUAUUAAAUGGAAUAGCCCAGAAAUAAGCAAUUCGUAAGUUUUAAAUUGAGCACCUUUCUGAGUAGCGGGAGGAAAUCUCGUGCCCUCCUGCUCCAUCCUGCGUUGGAUGUGAAUCAUCACUUUGUCCCGCAGGUCCACGCUGGACGCGUUCCCAGCCCGUUAGUCACUGAGUGUCCAUCUGGGUCAUCAGAUCAACUGUCAUGGUAUCACAGUGCUUGUGUUCAAGUCACCCUUAUUUUACUCAAUAAUAGCCCCAAAGCGCAGGAGUCCUGAUGCUAGCCGUUAGGACGUGCCGAAGAGAAGCCGGAACGAAGGUGCUUCCUUUAAGUGAAAAGGUGAAAGUUCUUCACUUAGGAAAGAAAAAGACUUCUAGCUUAGGUUGCUAAGAUCUACGGUAAAAACGAAUCUUCUACCCUUGAAAUCACGCAGAACGAAAAACAAAUUUGUGCUGGUUUAGCUGUUGCACUCAAACAUGUAUGUAUAGGAAAACAGAAUAUAUAGGCUUGGGUACUGUCUGCGCGUUCAGGCCCCCACUGGGGUGUUCUUGGAACGAAUCCCCCGAGGAGAAGGGAGGACUACUGUAUAUGGUGUUCUGCUUUGUAGAGCUUCAUUUAACCAGAACCUUACGGAGGGUUAUUAUGAUUAUUUACAGAUUUUUGCAAUUAUAUCCAAUGCUGUAAUGAAUAAUUUUCUUCAUGUCACUUUGAGUGUGAGCGGGGAUACCCAUCAGAUAAACUGUCAGAGGAGGGGCUCCUGAAGCAAAGGAUAUCCUUCACAGGGGCUGUUCGGUUUGGGUGCCCACCAAUAACGUAUGAGAAUUCCUGCUUCCUCAUAGUCUCGCCAACACUUGUUCAUUCACUUCAUAAAUAUUUUAGUCAUCGACUAUGCCUUUUUGUAUAUGCUCUACAAAUGUAUUGGUUAGGAGUUAUAAUUUCUCUCAUUCAAGGUAGGAAAGAUAUUAUUAUCCUAAUUUUAAAAAGAGAGAAACUAUAAAUGGAAAGUAUUAAUCAUAAUUCCCAGGAAAAACUAGAAAAAUAUCACAUUCUUCCUGAUUCUCAGUUUUGAGGAAAGCAUUGGGGCUGUCUCUACAACGACCAUUAUAACUUCACUGGUUGGUCAACUUAGGCAACAAAAGAAUUGGGGUUUUUUGGUCACCAUUUUAUUUACACUAAAUCGUUCGUUAGAUGUUUUGUUAUGUGGGGACAUUGCUAUGUUUAUUGAAGCCAAAGGCCCCUUGAUGUCUGUUAAGGAGAGAAUCUGCUGCACAGCAGAGAAAAAUGUCCUUUAAGACAUAAGUCUCAAGUCGCCUGACACUUGAUUUCAGUGUUCAAAUAGUUACACAAUGUUUCUCUCUUAUUAACCACUGCAAACUCAUGACUUUGUUGUAG